rnacentral:lncRNA from 1 species
CUUCAGAAAGUGACAGUUCUCCUUUACCCCAGGGGUGUUAAAUGUGUUUAGUUGUGCUCCCAUAGCUACAACCAAGUAGUCAUACUCCAGGGAAAAUUCAGGAGUUCCGAUCAAUGGGUUAUCAGUAUUAGCCCGGAGGUGAACAUUCUUAUUUGCAGCAUCAGUCUUGACACAUUCUGCUUCAUAAUAUUUGAUCUCUCCAUUUCUCUGCCAUGACAUGAAAGCAAUAAGCAGAUAUUUUUUAUUUCUUGAAGGAAAACCUCAGAGCAAUCAAAAUGUGAAUGUAACAAUGGAUAUAAUGGCAUUAAAGCAGCAUCUCCACUGUCCAUAAAGAAAUCUAGAAGCUUUCGAAUGUGUCACUUACCUUCUUUAUAAUAUUACGCACUGGUUCUACAAUGCUUCGUCCCUCAACCAAGUGAUGCUAGGUAACGAAGGGUAAAUGCAAAAUAGUUUCUGGGUGAAACAAGCUGAACAUCAUAAUGUGAAGCAUCCACAUGCAUGCUUAAGGAAACUAGUACCGGCCCAUCCUGUCCCAAGAACCACCACUCUCUUUUUCUUAACCUCAUUCUGAUUAGAAUCAAUAGGAGGAGAGCUCACAUCUGACUGUGAUUCUGCAUACGCCACAACACCGCCACCACUGCACUAAUCCAAAAAAAGCAUAGGGUGCAUAUGUGUUAAAUCCAACCGGAAAAAAAAAAACAAAAAAAGUAAAAGACUGACGAAGGUGCAUAUAAUCAACAAGCAGAAAUAGUGUCAUUUCUGGCAGAGAUUUGGACUCCGAAUCUUGUAAAUAAAAAUUCGGACAAUCGGACUACCGACAGAGCUAGAAUCUGUUAGAAAGACAGUUUGAGGCAGCUCCUAAAUUAUGGGAAAACAGAAACUAAUGUACCUCUCUCGCACGUUAACUAUUAUUUCGAAAUCAUUAUCCUGUUAAUGGAUAGUCAAUAGCUAUUUCCCCUUACAGCGCAAGAUCACAUGACACGACCAAACUUGAUUAGAUAACCUUAACAAUUGCAAAUCUUGGGGUUGAAAAUUUGAUUGAUUAAGCCCAGCUUAAGACUCCAAGAUUCAAAAUUGAGCCCAAGAAGCUUUUUAAAGAAGGGGAGAAGUCUGUGCCGAACAAGUAGCCAGUCAAGGCUGGGAGGGUUGUGGCAAGCAGGUACAAUCAGAUUGGGAGUUCUUCGGUUGCGGCGGCGGAUGGUAGGAAAAGGUCUUUGCCGGAUGAUGAUAAGGAAGAUGGGAGCCGGUGUGAGAAGAAGCGCGUGUCAUUGGUGGGGAAGCCGCGUGGCAUUGGGAGGGAGGGGUCUAGGAGCGUUGGAGCGGAGAGUAGGAUGAAGAAGAGGUGGGAGAUUCCUAGUGAGGUGGUGGUGUUCCAGGGUGUGGAGGAGGAUGGUGUUGCUGAAAUUGAUGUGCUGCCGAAGAUUAGGACUGUUAGAUGUGUUAAUGACACGCCGAGGGGAUCUGGGCCGGCGAAAAGGGUGGCUGAAUUGGUUGGGAUGAAGAAGUAUUUUAGCAACAGUGAUGAGUUCUGCCAGGAGUUGAGUUUUGCAGAAGAGGAGGAUGGUGAGGAAGAAUGAGUUGGAUCAUGGAGGAUUUUUGGUAAGUACCAAACCCCCUGCAUUUCAUAUUGGUAAUUGAGGAGCCAUAACUCUUGUUAUGGAGUAAGUAUGCUUAUUUGUGUCUGUUGGUGGAGAAGGUUUAUAAGGUAAAGUUUUAGACUUUGCUUUCUCGAUCUGCUGUGAAAUGCUGGAGAAAGCUAUUUUUCUCUUGCUGUCUAGCAAGAAUAAGAUGUAUUUGUUUCAUUUUUCAAUGAACAUCAGUAAAGGUUAUAAGCUUGAAACAACUACUUCAAUAAGGUGGAUUCAAUAAAAAUAGAUACCUAUUUGUUUGCACAGUAAGCAAUCUAUCAGAACAUUUGAUGAUUCAAAAAGUAAUCUUGGCUCAAUUUGUUAUUUUUCUGGAACAAAAUCUUGGCUAUAGCUACUUUACAAAUUUGCAAGCCUCACUCAACGUGUACGUUCAAUUCAGAUAAAGCAGUAUACUGUGUUACAGGAAGAUAAUCAGCCGCUAAGGCCGAGAAAUAUAUCUCAAAGUGUUACAGUUAAUACCCUGUAUGAAUGUUUAUGCAUGUAGAAAUGGCGAUGUGUGACCAUUAGUUGCAUCCACAACCAUACCAUCCUGUGUAAUCUUGUGAUUCUACCCAGUUCCAGGUUAUUCUGCUUAAAGCUAGAAGGAAGUAGGCAAGUGGUGUUUACAUAAAACAUUCCUUCUCUGAUUUGUUUCAACAUGGGAAUCAUGGUGCCAACUGGUUCUGAGCAGUUCUCAUUUAGUUUUAUAACCUGGUGGAAGAGCAUUAUGGAUUGGGAAAAUUAGGAAUCUCAUAGUUCAUAUAGAAUGGCAUGAACUCAGUGAGACCCAAUACUCCCUAAGAAACUGUUUUGAGCCUCCAUCUGGAAGACACUUGAUAACUAUACUGAAAAGGAAAUUUUGAUGGGGCUUCUGACAUGAGUAUAACGACUUAAUGAGAGACUUCCCAUGAGAACAAUGAUGAAACCAAUAUUGGUUUUGUUUCUAGGGAAGGCUACUGAAGCUGUAGCCUUGAUGAUUUGCAGUUGGUGAUGGUUUUACUCUAUCUGCUGUUGGAAGGGGAUGCCAAAACACUUGAUGAAUCUCUUUAGUUCUGCUUCCAAUAAUAUCCGGAUUGGUAGUCUUGCUGCUGACUUCUAUAAUCUAUGUAUGCUACAACAUGCAUGCAGCAAGUCAAUUCUAUGUGCCUAUCUUAUGGUCGAUGAGUCCAGAUAUCAGUGAACUGAGAAGAACUGAGAAGCUCAAAUUUUGGGGCCUCAUUCUCCAGUAACAAUCAGAAGUACCAGACCUCACUGAAAUUGACGUAACUAGUUGUAGAAAGAAAAAGAAGUGAAAGCAAGGUUUUGAACCUCGGUUAAGGCUACAGCUGGAGCAACACACUUGUUUUUUNNNNNNNNNNNNNNNNNNNNNNNNNNNNNNNNNNNNNNNNNNNNNNNNNNNNNNNNNNNNNNNNNNNNNNNNNNNNNNNNNNNNNNNNNNNNNNNNNNNNNNNNNNNNNNNNNNNNNNNNNNNNNNNNNNNNNNNNNNNNNNNNNNNNNNNNNNNNNNNNNNNNNNNNNNNNNNNNNNNNNNNNNNNNNNNNNNNNNNNNNNNNNNNNNNNNNNNNNNNNNNNNNNNNNNNNNNNNUCUGCUUCCUUCACCAGAUCUCUGUGGUUUAUAGUAAAUACCUCACGGGUGUGAGACCAUCAGAAUUUACACAAUUAUGAUCUUUGGGACUUGCCAUGCUCUCCACCUUCUGCAUUUCAUCCAACAAAACCCUAAUCAUGAUGAGGUAAAGUAAUUCAUUACUGAUUUAUGAUCUGAGCUUUGAACAGCUAAGCUAACAUCCGCUUUUAACACAAGGUAUGAAUGAAACUUAUAAGAGAAAUAAUACCUUGAACCAUUGUAGUUCGUACUGCAUUUGCAAAGCUGCACCUCGAAUAUGAGCAAUCUGUGUUAAUGGGGACAACUUCCCUACCACAUGCAGCAUGUUAUUCCCAAACUUAUCUUUUCUACUUAGAAUUUCUUUUCUUUCUGUUGCAGUAAAAUUAUAACGUAUCAAGUCAAAUAUUUGGUCUUGACGAUGCUCAGCAGCGAAUUGAAACAAGGUAUUGUCAUGUUCAUUAGUGAUGGCAAGGCACCAGCUUUUAUAAACCUGCAGGCUUAUCAAUUUUUCUACGAAUAGAAAAUGUCCUCGUUCUACUGCUUGGAAGAGUGCUUUUUCAGCAAAUUUACUAUAUUGCAUGAAGUCGAAAUUGUAGUUGAAAUGCUCAAACGCUUUGCACAUUUGAUCCAAAAUUUCGAUGGUCCGGACAUGGAGCACUUUCAUUUGAUAUAAAUUUUUUUUGAAAAGUCAUUUGAUAUAAAUUAUCAAUUCCUAGAUUUAAAAGAGUAUCAAAUUAGCUAGCAAAACCUUCCAAAAACAAGUGGCAGCUAUACUAUUGAUAAUAUGUUGACGUAGCAUACCAGAUAAGCGACGGAGAUUGGCAACUGGUCGUCGAAAGAAACAUAUAACUGCAUUUCAAUUAAUCAAAAUAUAUUGUCAUAAUUUCUUCAAAGAAUACGUAGCUAGCUUCUUCUUCUUUUUCUUUUGUUAAUGUACAUGGUGAGUAAGAUGCGUGUAAUAUAUAUACCUUGGCAAAUGAGAUUCUUCCGAGUGAUUUUCUCCUUUUCUGGUAUAUUUAUAAAAACGUCACCGUUCGAUUUAGGUAUAGGGGGUAUCUGCGUACCUAUCAUGAUAGUAAUUAAACCGGGUCAAAUUAAUACAUUAACUUUAAUUAAUUGUACUUGUAAGUGAUUAACAGUAUACGAGUGAUUAACUUUAAUACAAUGUGUUAAUGCAUUAAUUUUAUCCUAAAGUUUUAAAAUAAAUCCUUAAAGUCGUAACAUAAGUCCUUAAAGUUAUAACACAAGUUUUUAAAGUUGUAAACUUUUAGUUACGAUAUUGGUCUUUAAUAUUUACACCUUUAAAGACUCGUAUUAUUACGUUGAGGAAUAAUAUUACGUACUACUUAAGAACUCAAUUUACAAUAUUUAAACAAAGUUGAUGCACGUCAUGCAUUAACACACCAUGUUUUACCCUAUCAUACAUACGUCAGGGAUGUUUGGACACAAUACUUGGACCCUAGUACAUAUAUGUGUGUGUAUUAGUUUUAUAGGAAGAGAGGAGAGAUCAAAAGCAGCACUACUUACAGAUAUAAAUCAAUUAAAAGAAUGAUAGUUUGGCUAGAAUGGUUCUUUCAUUAACAUACGAAGAAUAUAUACAUAUUACAUCAGAAGAGUAGCUUUCCUAGAAGGAAACUAUCUCCACAAUUAAGGAGAAAAUAAGGCAACAGAUCUCUACCAAUGACUACAUUCCCAAAAUACAAAUUACACAAUAUUUACUUCCUAAUACUCCCCCUCAAGUUGGAGAGUGAAUANNNNNNNNNNNNNNNNNNNNNNNNNNNNNNNNNNNNNNNNNNNNNNNNNNNNNNNNNNNNNNNNNNNNNNNNNNNNNNNNNNNNNNNNNNNNNNNNNNNNNNNNNNNNNNNNNNNNNNNNNNNNNNNNNNNNNNNNNNNNNNNNNNNNNNNNNNNNNNNNNNNNNNNNNNNNNNNNNNNNNNNNNNNNNNNNNNNNNNNNNNNNNNNNNNNNNNNNNNNNNNNNNNNNNNNNNNNNNNNNNNNNNNNNNNNNNNNNNNNNNNNNNNNNNNNNNNNNNNNNNNNNNNNNNNNNNNNNNNNNNNNNNNNNNNNNNNNNNNNNNNNNNNNNNNNNNNNNNNNNNNNNNNNNNNNNNUAGAACCGUCUGAUCGAUGCUUGAUCUUGUAAACCCACCGACAAUCAAUAGGAGUCUUGCCAACCGGUAAAGUGGUGAGAGUCCAAGUGUUAUUAUCCUCCAAUGCCUGCAAUUCAGAAUGCAUCGCUUCUUGCCAUUCUGGAUGUUGUGCAGCUUCGGCAUAAGUGCGUGGUUCACUGGCCUGGGAUAUCUGAGCAAUAAAAGAGGCAUGCGCAGGAGUAUAACGAUGAUAUGACACAUAAUUGCACAGAGGAUAUCUCGUACCUUUGAUUUUGACAGGACCUGGAGAGGAAGAAGACAAUGAGUUUGGGAAGCUCGAUGUCACAUGUGAACACACAAAAUCACGCAACCGAACGGAAGGCGUCGUUUGCCGAGCAGAGCGACGGAGAGGCUGCGGGUCCGGCAAGUGGGUAGGUGGCUGGUCUGUGAGAGGCGGAGGUGGAUGGUCUAUGUUAGGCGGCGGGUUUGGAUAGGAAACGAUGUGGGUAUUAGGUUGGACUGGAGGAGAUGGUUCGAGGCCGGAUGGCAACGAAUUGGUUGGACUGGACGGUGGUCGGACUGAUUGAGGGAUGAGAGGAAGACGACUCAGAGAGGAUGAAGUCGACUGAUCAGGAUACAAAGGUGGAGUAGGGCGACCGAAAUUGGGUUGAGGAGCUUGUGGAGCUGAGUGGGAUGGGGAAGGAAGCGACACCGCCGGAGCUUGUUCCGGAGAUGAGGUCGGACCUGAGAUGGGGUCGGACCGAAGACAGGCCGGAAGAGACGAAGAGGAGUCGUUCUGGUGAGAGAGAGCUUGAAGGCGCAAGGAUCGACGGGGUUGUGGUAGCGGAGGCGGAGGCGGAGGCGGAGGCGACGAGACAGCGCCGGAAAGGGAUGGCGCCGGUGAUGCGACGACAGGACUGGGCGUCGCUGGGAAAUCGGUGGCGGAAGGAGACGGGAUCUGUGUUGAAUGUUGAGGUUGAUCUAGUGGACUGGAUUGUAAUGAUGUGUGAGGUGGGCUUGUGAUUUGGGCCAAAGGAAGAAUUGGACCAGAUUUGGACUCAGGCACAACAGACUGAUAAGGGAAAAUAUUUUCAUGAAAGAUCACAUCACGACUUGUAAAAACUUUAUGACUGGAGAGAUCGUAAAGCUUAUAGGCUUUCUGACCAACAGGAUAACCGAUGAAAAUGCACAUGACUGCUCGUGGGGCAAAUUUGUGUGUGACCUUGACAUUUGUAGCAAAGGCUAGACAACCAAAAACAGGAAGGUGAUGAAAAGGAGGAGGUCGGGAAUACAAACGUUCAAAAGGUGUUUGAAAAGAGAGAAGUGGAGUGGGUAAACGAUUAAUAACAUGAACAGCUGUGAGAAUACAUUCUCCCCAAAAUUUAAUAGGAAGAUUGGCUUGAAAUCUAAAAGCACGUGCAACUUGGAGGAUAUGGCGAUGUUUGCUUUCUACUACCCCAUUUUGUUGGGGCAUAUAAACGCAAGAAUGCUGAAAAAUGACUCCAUUAUCUUUGAAAAAAUUUCGAAGAGAAAGGAACUCAGCCCCAAUAUCACUGCGAAAGGUUUUAAUUUGAGACGAGAAUUGGGUAGAUGCAAAGGCAAAAAAUUGUUUAAUCAAAGACUGAGUAUCCCAUUUAUGUUGCAUCAAAAAAACCCAAGAAAAACGAAAAUAAUCAUCAACAAUUGUAAGAAAAUAACGUGCACCAGAAAGAGAAGGAUGUUUGUAAGGACCCCAAAUGUCACAAUGAAUGAGAUCAAAAGGUUUAACAGAUGAGAUAGAACUGGUACCAAAAGAUAGACGACUUUGUUUUGCCAAUGGACAAAUAUCGCAAGCAUGAUUGGAAUCAGAAGGAAUAGAAAUAUCCAAAAAAUGCUUAGCGAUAUAAUCUAGAGGACUAGAUGAAACGUGACCCAGACGACGAUGCCACAGAUUGGAAGAGGAUGUUGUGAGGUGACAAGAAUGUUGAAUGGUUGAUGAUUGAUGUGGUUUAGGCUUGGUUUUCUUCGUCAUUAACGCCACUAGAUAGUAAAGACCGUUGCGUUCCUUACCCAAACCAAUUGUCUUCCUCGAAAUCAGAUCCUGCAAAAUACACCAAUAAGGGAAAAAUGUCACAGAACAAUUCAUGUCUCUCGUUAAUCGACUAACAGACAUUAGAUCAACUUUGAAUGUAGGCACACAUAACACAUCAUGCAAAUAGUACUCAGAAGUCAGAGGCAAAGAACCCUUGGCAAUAAUAUUAGCCUUUUCUCCACUAGGCAACAAUACAGAAGACAAUGAACAAUAUUUGUCCUUGUGUAAUAGUGGGCCUUGAGAUGAAGAGAUGUGAUCUGUCGCGCCGCUAUCAAUAAUCCAGUUGCAUGAAGUGACCUUAGAUAAAACUGGUUCUGUUACAGCAACAUUGACUCUUGAACUAUCAGAUCCUUUGUGAUUCAAAAUAGCCAAAACACGUUGACGUAGUUGCUUAGGGAAAGGAAUGCGAACGGAGAAACCGUUUUGCCAGAUAGGUUGAUUUGAUCGAUUAUAUUGGUUGAACACUAUCAACAAGGACGGAUGAUCAGGAUGAUCAAUGAAGAAUGAUUUGAAAUUGGCCAUGGAGACUAGAAAAAUUGUUGUACGAGAUAUAGAGUACAACAAAUUGAGAAGAAAAAUCGUUGCACGAGAGAUAAGGUGCAACAGCUGUAGAGUCAGGAUCUAGUCCCGCUCUGAUACCAUAAAAGAAUGAUAGUUUAGCUAGAAUGGUUCUUUCAUUAACAUACGAAGAAUAUAUACAUAUUACAUCAGAAUAGUAGCUUUCCUAGAAGGAAACUAUCUCCACAAUUAAGGAGAAAAUAAGGCAACAGAUCUCUACCAAUGACUACAUUCCCAAAAUACAAAUUACACAAUAUUUACUUCCUAAUAUCAAUCGUUUCCAUAUUCCGAGCUGGCUAGCAUCUAAGAAUAAUCUAGUACGCGUACUAGCUAAUUCAUUCAAAGGGGAUUCACCGGAGUGGUCUUUAGUAAUUCCCAACAUUGGAAAAUGCUGCAGUAAGUCCAACGACAUACCUAUAGUAGUGUGAAAGAGGGAAUCAGUACAACAUGCAUACAUAUGAGGAGAAAAAAAUAAUUAAAAUGCAUGCUAUAGUAAUGAUCUGCCAUACAUAUGAAAUUCGAUUCUCACUUACGUCCGUACCUAAAUAUUUCAGUCGCAAACCCGUGGAAACAAGCUCAGCGGCAUCCCUAGGAGUCAGCUUUUCGAAUGGGGUAACAGAACAAAGAUAACGAGUCAUUUUUAUUUUGUCCAAACUGAGAGCAUACAGGAGUGGAAUAGUAUUGGAGGAAGGACGGACAACACGAAGGAUUAGUUUCAUGUUCUUCCAACUAUGCACUUGACGAUUUCAACCGCAUCCUUUGUAUCCGAGUUUUGUAUAGCCAGAGAGAGAGCAGUGUUUCGGCCAUAUUUAUCCGCUAUAUUCAAAUCUUUCUUUUUCAUCAACGGCAGUAACUCUUUUACAAAGUCCACCCUCACCCGAUAGACUGCGAAUUGAAGAGCUGUCCAGCCAUAACGCUGAUCUUUUGCUCUUACUGCAUCUGGAUGCUUAUUAAUAAACUCCUUUGCUGCCUCCCAUUUCCCGUUCCGCACAUUCUCGAAGAAAUUAAAGGUAUCAUACUCAUCAUCAUUUGCUGCUAGCCGUGCCAUGUGUUAAUAAUGGUAAUUAACAAUGUGACUUUCAGGGGAAAAAAGACUAGUAAUACUGUCAAAAAUCAUAAUGAAGAGCGAGCAUAAUUACCUCGAUACCCUAUUUCCAAGUCGGGAUCACCAUCAUUUGAGUCGAUGUCGUCAUUCAAGUCUUCAGAAUCCUCUUCUGAAAAUGAAAUGGUUAUUCUUUUCAUCAAGGCCUCAGUUCUAAACAUCAUGCAAUAAAAGUACAAAUUUUAUCAUGUAGUAUUGUAAUUUGUGAAUGUAAUGACGAACAACUAAUGCAUGUUUAAUAGAAUAUUUCUUUUGUUUUGGUAGCUAGGUCUUUCCACAUAACGGUUACAUCAUAAAUAAAAUAACACGUUACAUAAUUAAAAGACCUAAAUGAGUCUAAAAUUAAAACCUAUCGAGUUUGUUUGAUUUGUCCAGUACCAUUUAAUCUAGCAGUAUAGUCUCUCCUUAGUAAGUGAGAGAUUGUGAGUUCGACUUACGAAGUUAUAAUAUGUAAUAAAAAAAAAGUUGGCUUGAUUUAAAGCCGAGACAUAAUACGAAGUGAUCAAUUGUAGAACCAGUAAUCCUAAGGCUGGGCUCGGGCCCGGGCCUAAACCGGUACCUAUCUUGAAAGGACUGGACCUGAUCCGGACUGGGUACCCUUCCAUCGGGUCCAACUUUUAUCUUAAAAUUUUUGGGACCGGCAAGAGCCGAAACCGGUAAGAAAUGGACCGGUCCUGCCAGGCCGUAUGGAUAUUGGGCCGAUGCAACCGAACUAAAUAAUAUACAAAAUGAGAGGAAGACUGGUUUCGAACCUCUCACCUCUCACAUAAACUCCAAGGCGGAAUCCAAUAGAAGAGCUUGAGCUUUUGUUUAGUUUUGUACAAACUAAAUUUUAAUAUAUUCAGUUCUUUAGUUCACAGAUUAAAAGCAAUAAAACCCAGCCAUAUCUCUUUUAAUUUCCUUCCUUCUUCAACUUUCCUUCAUCUUUUUUCUCUUUUCCUCACAUAAACUCUAAAGUCUUGUUCAGCUACUCACUACUCCUCCCCUCUUGAUUUCUACGUCGCCAGAGAUUGACGCCUAAAGAUCCUCAAAUUCUGAUAGUAAUUGUGAAUUUCAGGUUCGACCCGUGCAAUCUUGUUGUAGCAGAUCGGUUGUGGAUUGUGGGACAGAUCAAGAUAAAAAAGGAGAAAGGAGUGAUGAAAUCGAAAUGCGAGUUAAGAUAAGAAAGUGUACCUAACGAAUUUGAAAGUGGAGGAGCGAGGUCGAAUCUCAAAUCAACACUAGUAAGUAGCUCUUUGUUUAUGUUGAAGUUUAUUAUGAAUCUGGGUUUUUAUUUUAUUUUUUGGAGAUAUUUGUAUUAGGUUAUUGGAUUAUUUGUGUUUUCUCAACUCUUAAUUCUCAAUUCUAUAUGCAAGCAAUGUAGUAGUAUUAUCUUGAUGUAUUUCGUUUAUUUUAUUGUUGGGUGUAUGAAACUGAUUGAGAAAUGAUGAUAAAUUUCAUGGUUUGAAUCCAGCUCUGUUUCAUCAGUUGUGCCUUUAGAUUUCAUCAAGUUAUUCGCUUAUUUACAAUUUAUUUCUUUCCAUCAGGUAUAUUUCUUUUCAUCAAGUAUCUAAGGACCACAGUUGCAGCGAGAUAUAUACUUCGGGCUUUCGGGCCGAAUACAUACUCAGAAAUCAAGGACCGAGCCUGGACCGGCAUAGUAAAGGACUGGCCCGGACAGAACAUUUCCAAUAGAAGGACCGGUAAAAAGCUUGGCCCGACCUGACCGGUCCAGGUCAGUUUGCCGGUCUUUUUUCUCUGCUACGGGCUUUAUGCCCAGCCACAAGUAAUCCGUAACAUAUCACUGAUAUGUUAUCAUGCACACUACAUUGAAGAUUAUGUGGAAUGACGUCAUGCUAAGGAUCAAGUACCAACAUCUACAACUGAAUCAUUAUUUAUUUAGACUCGAUUAGGUUUUUUUUACUAUAUAUAUAUGUAAGUAACUGACACACUCUUACAUAUUUGAAUAAGCUCUUACAUAUUUGAAUAAGGGUUGAAUGACUUCAAUCUAUAACUUCAGCUUUGAUAGUUAAGCUACUUAACCAAUCAAGUUAUGACUCACCAAUCAGGUUUUUGUUCAUUUAGACUAAUACCUUGUUUGUUUUGCACCUGAACACUGACCGAGUGUUCAAAGUGCAGCUAACAUUCUACUUCACCCUAAACUAGGUGGUUAGCAUCACCAAAAUUAGUCAACUAUAAUAUAUAGGCUUGCUUGGCUGUGUUUUCAUUUAGAAUAAAAUCUUUGGUAGGGGGUGUUUAUUUUUAAUCGGGGUCAAUAUAGUAGCAUUUUCCCAUUAUAUUGAUCGAUCAUGAGAGAGAUAUGUAUGUACCUGGAGUUUUUAAACUUUGAGGAGGAUUGAACUUUUUUGCCAAAGUAAUCCAGGCAUCUUCCGCCAUCUCACUGUCACUAAUACAAUACCGAGCAUCCUGCCCGGAAAAUAUGGUGAUAACAUGCAAUGCCCUGGCAUUAUUUUUCCGCCAAGCCAUGUAUUCAGCUUCCCCUUCCCCGUCUUCUAGUUUUGGAGGUUCACUCGUGCCUUGGACAACGUCCCACAAAUUUUCAGCCAGCAAGUAUUUUCUAACCCAAUAGCUCCAGUGCUCGUAGUUGUCUUGGUCAAGAGCUUCAAGAUCAAUCACUGUACUAGGGACUAGUGUGGCUGCCAUGCCCUUGAUAUCUAUAUAUUAUGCACAUAUAUGUCAAAUAUAUUAAAGUGAUGAUAAAAGGAGACCAAUUAUAUUGCAAGUAUAUACUCACAGAUGGAUUAAAGGAUAAUAGAUGUGAGUGCAUUCUUUCCUUUCAUUAUUCUUCAUUUUCGCAAGAUAAUUAAUUAACUAAAUGUACUACUGACCUCUGUUUUUCGGCUUCAACCGAUUCGCCAAAGUCUCCCAAGCAUCCUUGGCCAUCCUAAUGUCACAGAUAAAACCGAAGACAUCAGUCCUACAAGAGUUUUGGAUGGCAUGAAGAGCCUUGGCGUUCUUCAUACUCCACUCCGGAUCAGUUUCACCAUUAUUAGGAGUUUGAGCCGUGGCUUUGACAGCGUCCCAAAGACCCUCAGCAAUUAAAAAGGUCUCCACCCGUAGACUCCAGUCUUCAUAGUUGUAUAGGUUCAGAACUUCAAGAAUACUACUAUUUGCACUGGUUACAACUGUAGCUGCCAUACGCUGUCAAAUUCUCAAGGUGAUCAGUUUGUGUCCGUAGAGCUAAUUAGCAAAUAUAAUUAUACGUAUAAAACAAGGGUAAAAUACUGUAUAGUCAUUGUGGUUUGAAGUCGACAUCUGUUCAGUCCUUAUAGUUUUAUUUUAAUCUGAAUAGUUCUUAAAGUCACGAUUUUUCAUUCAAAUGGUUAUUCCGUCAAUUUUUUCAGUUAAAUGGCUAACAUAGCCUUUAAAAAUUACAAUAUUUUUAACGCCCACGUCAGUAUUGUAACAAAAAAAUUGAUGGAAUAACCAUUUGGAUGAAAAAUUGUGACUUUAAAAACCAUUCAGAUUAAAAUAAAAUCACAAGGACUGAACAGAUGUCGACUUCAAACCAUAAAGACUAAACAAAUUUUAAUUCAUAAAACAAUGUAUAUUGAGGUAAAUAGAAGAACAAGCGAUAUAUGUAUACAUGCAUGAAGAACAAGCGAUAACCAAAAAAAAAAAAAAUUAGAGGAUAUAUAGAUCGUAGAUUGGGGUGCGAAACUUGAAAAAGCUGCAGCUAGUCAGUUUGUAUAAUUAUACUACUGCGGCGUACAUGCAUGUUUGUACUUCAUAAUAAGAAAAUACCAAAUUAAAAAGAGGAUUCGUAUUGAUGCAUGCAUUGUGAAAAAAAAAUAAAAAUAAAUAAAAAAAUAAAAAGGAGAAGAAGCUGGAUCUGGAUCCCCUUCCGAUCCUAUUAUCUGAAACUCAAAACAGGAGAGGUCGAUCUUCUAGAUACCUCACAGAUACUUGAGCUAUCAAUUAAAUUAGGUGUCCAAUUACAGAGGGACCAAAUAUAUACUCACAGCCUAAUCCACCGGAUCUGGAUAUGUUCCAAACAGCUUCAGCUUGAGAGUCCAACUGUGUGUGAAGUAUCAAAUAUAUAUAGUGGCCAAAGGUGUGUUUGUUAAUGUAUAAAUAACAAAUCGAUCAAGCAAAUAACAGCUUCUCAGUGAAUACAAAGCAAGGUAUAGUUUUCUUUAUGUGAGUGAAAACAAAGCAAAGGAUAGAUGAAACUAUGAGUCUUUCUUUAUGCUUUUUUCCAAAACACGUGGUUGGUUGGAUUGCGGGAGUUAUUAAAUUUUUAUCCAAUUUUUUUAAUGUCAUAUAUAGCAGCUAAGACUCUAAAGAGUAUACGACUAUUUUUUUUUUUUUUGUUCUUUUUAAAUAUCUUGUUGAUAUAUUAACUCAAGCAAGAAAACGUCAUCAUGAUCCUCCUUUACCCAACUAUGGAUGGAUAGACAAAAAGUUCAUGAUACUAGAACAGAGCAGUGCAUAUCUAAUCAUUUAACGAUAUCUAUGCUCACUUACUCCCUACACAACUGUUUUAAGCGUUCAUUUGGAAGUCACUUGAUAAGUACUCUAGUGAAAAGAAAAUAUUGAUGGGGCUUCUGACAUGCAGAAUGAUGUAACAAGGGGAUGUUGCAUUGUACUAUAGAGAUUCACGAAGGACUUCCCAUGGGAGCAAUGAAAUACAGUUUUAGUUUGUUUUCUGCGAAGGUUACUGAAACUGUACGUUACUGUAGCCGUGAUGAAUAGACUUCAAUUUGCAGUUGGUGAUGGUUUUACUCUAUUUAUCGGGUGGUGGAAGAGGAUGCCGAAACACUUGAUGAAUCUGUUUAAUUAGUUCUGCUUCCAAUUAUAUUUAGAUUGGUAAUCUUGCUGCUGAUCGAUUUCUAAGCUAUGGCGAGUCGAUCAGUUCUAUGUGCCUAAUUAUAUAUGGUCCAUGAUGAAUUCAGAUUUCAGUGAACUGAGAAGAACUUCAAAGCUUAGCAGACCUCAUUGAAAAUUGACUCAACUCAUUGUAAUAAAAAAAGAAGUGAUAUGAAAGCAAGGUUUUGAACCUUGGUUAAGGCUACAACUGGAGCAACACACUGCUAAGUGUUAAUAUAACCAAACAAAUAUGUUUUUUCACUAUAUGAAAUGUGUCACAAUGUUACAUCACUAAAUCCUCCAAAGCCUUAAUUAUGUAAAUCCUCCAAGCCUAACAACAAAUAAACAACAUAAGCCCCCAGUAAAUCCUCCGGUAGGUUGAGUAAAGCUUUGAUCCAUAAGUAGAAAUAAUGAUCUCAAGAAAGAACGGAAAUUGCAUCCAGAGGAAUGAGGCGAUUGGAACACUAGCUAGCGAGUACAACAGAUGAAAUAACAAUAGAUGGCUUUUCAGGAAGCAUAAUGAUAAUGGUAGAAGCAAAGGCAAUCAUCGUGACCCCGAUAGAUAGAAAAAGGGUAAGAAAGCCAAUUAUCAAUUUUGUGGGUAAGGAUGUGAGAAAAUCUUCUUCAGCAAAACGUGAAGUGAGGAUCCCCAGAAAUACCAUCACUGAAGUUGUGGAAGAGCAUAGCGAUAUAACAUCUGCAACUAUAAAAGUCCGAAAUGCCUUGGUAUGUAAGUAUAUGGGAAUACCUAUGUCCACGUUUAUUCCACCAGGAACUGUCACUGCUGCAACGUACGAACAUAAUAGUAAUGAUAAGAGCAGCUACAAGUGCAGAAGAAGAAGUUGCAGUUUCUUUCAUCGACAUUUCUCCCGCCUCUACCAAAUUUCUGUGGUUUAUAGUAAAUACCUCACGGGGUGUGAGUGUUGAGCAGUAAAAAAAACUAUAUAUAUAUAUAUAUAUAUUUUGUUGCUGUAAGCUGCAGACAAUUAUCCGAAAAAAAGAAAAGAUAAUGGCAGCAAUAUAUAAAAUGGGGUUUAAUUACAUAUUAUCCUCAUUCAAAUACAGAGUCCAAAGCUUGACCAAUUCCUCAUGGAAACCACCGAAACAGAAGAAAAAAAAACAGAAACAACAUAGAUAAGCUGAGUAAAAUCCAAGCUUUAUCUUCAAAUGAUGGUCAAAGAAGGUGGCUGCAACAAUACCAUUCUUUACGGCAUACGUUGCAGAAAGAUUCCAACAAACUCACCUAGUCAAUACCGAAAUACAUGACACAAGGAGUGUAAAAUUUUCAAAUUCCAGUUACAAUCUGAUCUCCUCAAAGACUCUAUAAAAGCAUGCAAGCACAAUGAUAAGUGGGACAGAGAAGAAUGAGAAGAGAACAAGAGAAGAAAGAGAAGGGAACAGAAGAGACGAAAAAGAAAGAGUAGAAGAAGAGAAGAAGAGAAGCUGCGAGCCAACAAGAAGAUAGUGAAGGUGGAGCUCUCAUUCUAACUCUCUUUAUCUUUUGCAGUAUCUUUAUCUUUCUGUAACAUCUGGAAGUCUCAACCUUGUUCCACCGGAAGCCUCGAAAGUAAAAGCUGAACAACCCCUUUAAGGAGCUUCUUACAACACGGCUUCUGCAAACAUCUGUACCUUCCCAAGCAAGGUCCCAAUGUCAUUCAAAUCUCGAAGACCGUUCUGGAUCACCUCCAGGUCAUCACCAAAAGAAGACUAUGGCCGCUCAGCUUUUUCUCUUAUUGCAACGAAAUUUAUGGCCUUGCAUCACUUGCAUAAUAAGCCACACAAGGGGAAGAAAACGAACAUUCCAAGCAACACAAGUUUGAAGCUGUCAUGUCAACUAUGAAGAGCAGGAACUUACUCUUGACGUCUUGGAGUAUUUCUCUCAAGCAAUGAAGAGUAUUUUUUAUCUGCAAGCAAAAAGUGGAAGUCAGAAUCUGAAGCCGUUGAAGAAAUAGAAGUGUACCUGGCAUAUUCACCUACGAAGAUAAGUGAAGCCUAAGCAGAUUGAAGUGAGUCUGAGUGGAUUGAAGCCUUAGUAGAUUGAAGCAAGCCUGAGCGGAUUGAAGCAAGCCUGAGCAGAUUGAAGUCAGCCUGAGCAGAUUGAAUUGAAGCCUGAGCAGUUUGAAAUGAGCCUGAGCAGAUUGAAACCAAGAAGAUAACAUUCAACAUUGAGGAAAUAAUCGAAGCAUAUAUUCAGGAGCUUUCAAAAUUGAAAGAAUGAUUGAAGGCAUGCUUAUGGAAAUGACUGAGCAAAGAUAAGUCCUAGGCGCUUUCAAAAUUUUCCCAACAUGAGUCAAUGUCCUCCCAAAUUUCUGGAACUAAAACGACAAUGACAAAAGGGAACUUCCUAGAGACAUGUAAUUGUCAUGACCCUCGCAACCAAAUAAUGUCAUCAAACUAUGAAGCCAAAAUCAUGCAGAUUCAACAUAAUCCAAACAGUGGAGUAUACAAUUGAGUCAUGCUUUGUCAAAGACACGGCCAGUUUGAAACUUUUUGGUGCAUAAAAGACAAAUUCCUCAAUUAAACAGAUGAGAUCUAUUCGAAAUUGUGGCCAUGAACUUUAAAUUAAGUAAUUAUGGCUUACCAAGAGGCUCAGAUACAAGACACCAAAAUGCAGGCUCAAAUUCAAAACCACUCCAAGUGUUGGCAGAAAGCAUUGGCAUCAAAACAACAAUUAUCAGGAGGAAUUCUUGCGACAACAUGAAAACUCAAUGAGGAAGAGGAACCUACCCAGCACAGAUUUCGAUUGCUUGAAACAAGAGGAGAUGAACAUGUCCAUAUAUAGAGCCAGGCUCCGAGACUCCAUCUCCGAAUUAAACUUGUGCACUCGAUUUCCAUCUGCAAUCCGAUCUUUGUGGGUGGCGAUACCUUGGAAGUCUUUGAGUUUAUUUGAAGAAAAUCAUUUGUCGGAAGAGAGAAGAUGAGUUCCUGAAAGUGGAUCAAAACAAAAAGUAAUAUAAUGGGCCAUAGAUGGUCUUUGGGCCGCUGACAAGUUUGAAGUGCAAAGCUCAAGUCAUCACAAUAGAAAAGGCACGACAGCCUUGGUCCGUUCGAACAUCCAAAUCAACCCAGAAGGAGCCUCACCAAAAUCAAAGCUCCAUGAAACAGAGAAAAAUGUAUUUGUUUAUUGGGUUCAGAAAAUUCAUACCCAGUACAAAACCAAAAAUCCUAAAAUGUUGAACUACAUUGGUUUGAUCCCUUCACAGGGUAUGUAGACAGUCUAGAUUUAAAUCUAGAUACAACCACAACUCCAAAUAAAUCUCCAUAUGUUCCUGAAGCCAAAACCUUGCUACUAGCCCAAAUGUCUUCAGACACAAAUCCAAACACAAAAUCGAAUCCCUGUUUGACCUACACCAAAUUCGUCCUAAACACUACUUCAAUUUCAAAAUCAAAGCCUUUCCAACAACAAGUCAUUCACUUGUUGGAAUUCUUGAACUACGAAUGGCUUGAUAAGGGUACGUAGGCAACCCAUUCAAAUUUCCGAGUGCAGCCGUAAAAACAAACAAACACACACACCUUUGGUCAUUUUCCUUUGGAAUCAAAGGGUUUUCCUCUUAAAAUAAGAGGAUGUAAUAAGAGAUAUGUUAUCUUGAAUGGGUCGAACUUAACAUGAUAAAAGUUCUAUCUCCCAUAAAUAAGGUAGGAUGAGAUUAUGUCGAGUAUAUGAUGUACAUUUUUUUGCUCAACAUAAAUCAUCAGAAUUUAUACAAUUAAGAUCCUUGUGACUUGUCAUGCUCUCCACCUUCUGCAUUUCAUCCAACAAAACCUUAAUUAGGCUUAGAGACAUGAUGAGGUGAACUGCAAAAGUAAUUCACUAAUUUAUGAUCUUAGCCUUGAAUAGCUAAGCUAAUAUUUGCUGUAACACAAGGAAUGAAGGAAACAUAUAAGAAUUAAUAUAUACCUUGAACCAUUGUAGUUCAUACUGCAUUUGCAAAGCUGCACCUCGAUAUGAGCAAUCUGUGUUAAUGGGGACAAUUUCCCUACACAUGCAGCAUGUUAUUCCCAAACUUAUCUUUUCUGCCUAUGAUUUCUUUCUUUCUUUUUCAUAAAACCAAGUUAUUACGUCAAAUAUUUUGUCUUGACGAUGUUCAGCAGCAAAUUGAAACAAGGUCUUGUCAUGUUCAUUAGUGGAGGCAAAGAACCAGCUUUUUGACUAUCCCUGUUCCAACCUAAUAUUUCUUCGAUGAAUGGCGCAUGUCCUCGUUCUACUACUUGGAAGAGUGCUUUUUCAACAAUUUUUCGUUGCAUAUGGUUGAGAUUAUCAUGCUUUAGCACUUUGCCAAUGUGAUCCAGAAUUUCGAUGGUUCGGACAUGGAGCAAUUUCAUUUGAUAAAUACCACCAAUUCCUAGAUAUAAUAGAGUAUCAAAAUAGUAACCUUUGGAAAACAAAUGGCAAACUAUUAAUGAUUAAUGUUGAUGUAGCAUACCAGAAAGAUUACGGAGAUUGGUAAAUAGUCGUCCAAAGAAACAUGUUACUGCAUUUCAAUUAACAAAAAUAUGUUGUCAUAUGUCUUCAAAUAUUAAGUAACUGCCUUCUCUUUUCUUUCAUUAUUUAAUAAUGUAUAUGCAUGCGUGUAACAGACCUUUGCGAAUGCGUUGCUUCCGAUUGCCUUGAUCUUUAUCUUCUUUUGGAACAGUUAUAGAAACAUCACCAAUAGCUGUAUCACGUAACCGUGGUAUGUGUAUACCUAUUGAAUUUGUAAAGAAUAGAAUGUUAUACACUUAAACAGCUCAAUCCCAUGCUACUUUUGCAUCUACCAUACUCUAAAUAAUCCAUAUGCAGCACUAUUUUUUCUCUGGAUAAUAAAAAUGUAAAAAUUAGACGAUUAGUUUCAUUGGAAGCGAGGAGAGAUCAGAGGUACGUACUAACAGUGACAAAUCAAUCGUUUUCAUAUUCCGAGCUGGCUAACGUUCGAGAAUAAUCCAGCACGCGUACUAGCCAAUUCAUUCAAAGGAGUUUCACCGGAGUGGUCUUUAGCAAUGAUCAGGUUUGGAUAAUGCCGUAGUAUGUCCAACGGAAUAUCUGUAGUAGAGUGAACGAGGGAAUCAUCAAUAUAACAUGUGUGCGAGAAGAAGAGAAAAUUAAAAUGCAUGCUAUAAUAGUAAGGAUUAGUUUGUCAAAUAGAAGCAACUGAUCUUACUCACGACGUACCUAAAUGUUUCAAUCGCAAACCCGUGGAAACAAGCUCAGCGGCAUCCCUACUCUUCAGCUUUUCGAGUGGAGUAACAGAAUAAAGAUAAUCAGCCAUUUUUGGUUUGUCCAGACUGAGAGCAUACAGGACUGGAAUAGUAUUGGCGGAAGGAUGGACAACACGAAUGAGUAGUUUCUUGUUCUUCUCAACUAUGCACUUGACCAUUUCGAUCGCCUCAUCUGUAUUUGAAUUUUGUAUAGCCACAGAGAGAGCAGUCUCUCCAUAUUUAUUUAGUAUAUCCAAAUCUUUCUUUUUCAUCAAAGGCAGCAACUCUUUUACUCCAUCUACCAUCUCUAACAAGGCUGCGAUUUGAAGAGGUGUAAUUCCCCAGGAGAGUUUUGCUCUUACUGCCUCUGAAUGUUGUUUAAUAAACUCCCUUACAGCCUCCCAUUGCCGGCGUAGCAACAUAUCGUGGAAAUCAUCGGAUCCUGCAGUCGUGCAUGCUAUGUGUUAAUGAUUAUCAAUGUGAGUAGGUAUGCGUGGAAAUUAAAUAACACCAGUAAUAUUUCAAUACAUCAUAGUGAAGAGCGAGCAUAAUACCUUCAAGUUCAACCGCUGCUGUACUCAAGUCAGCAUUACCAUCAUUUGAGCUGGUGUCGUCAUUCGAGUCAACUUCAGAGUUCACUUCUGUAAAUGAAAUGGCAUGAGUAUUCUUUCAAGGGCUGCGGAGUGAUAGGGUGAGGGCUCAGAUGCAUUGCCUCAAUUCUAAUUAUGUGGCAAAUUAAGUAUCAUAUUGAUCAAUCGGAGAUCUAUGUGUGUAGUACGUACGUACCUAGAGUUUCUAAAACUUCAGGGGGAUUGAACUUUUUUGCCAAAGCACUCCAGCCAUCUCUCGCCAUCUCACUGUCCCUAACACAAGACUCAGCAUCAUCCCCGCAAAAUAAGAUGAUGACAUGCAACGCCCUGGCAUUAUUUUUCCGCCAAGCCGUGAAGAUAGCUUCCCCGUCUUCUAGUUUUGGAGGUUCCCUUGUGCCUUCGACAACUUCCCACAAAUUUUCAGCCAGCAAGUAUGUUUUCACCCAAAAGCUCCAGUGCUCAUAGCUCAUAGUUGUCUUUGUUAAGUGCCUUAAGAUCAAUCAUUACACUAGGGACUAGUGUGGCUGCCAUGCCCUUGAUAUCUAUAUAUUAUGCACAUAUAUGUCAAAUAUAUAAAGCGAUGAUAAAAGGAGACCAAGUAUAUACUCACAGAUGGAUUAAAGGAAUAGAUUUGAGUACGUGCAUCCUUUCCUUUCAUUCUUUAUUUUUGCAAGAUAAUUAACUAAAUGUACUGACCUCUGUGUUUCGGCUUCAACCGUUUCGCCAAAGUCUCCCACGCAUCUUUGGCCAUCCUAAUGUCACCGAUAAAACCGAUUACAUCAGUCCUGCAAGAGAUUUGGAUUGCGUGAAGAGCCUUGGCGUUCUUCAUCCUUUACUCCCUAUAUUCAGUUUCACCAUUAUUGGGAGUUUUAGCCGUGGCAUCGACAACGUCCCAAAGACCCUCAGCAAUUAAGUAAGUUUCGACCAGUAGACUCAAGUCUUCAUAUAUAGUUGUAUUAGUAUAGCUAGGUUCAGAACCUCAAGAGUUGCAUUUGCACUGGGGACAACUGUAGCCGCCAUAGCCAUAAUCUGUCAAAUUCUCAAGGUGAGUUUAUAUGUCCGUAUAGCUAAUUAUCAAAUAUAAUUAAUCAUACAUGAAGAACAAGCGAUAAUCAUAAUACUAGCUUGCUAACUGAGGUAUAUAGCUCACAGAUAUUGGACUGGGAAUUGAAUCUUGAAAAUCUGCAGCUAGGACUACUAGCCUAGUAGAUCAGUUUGUAAAAUUCCACUACUGCUGUGUGCAUGUUCAGUAAACAAACUAUUACGAUGCAUGCAAUGUAAGAAACGAGGAAGCUGGUUCUCCUUCCAAUCCAACUUUUUGAAACUCAAAGCUGCAGGGUAGAGGUCUUCUACCUCACAGAUUAUCCGAGUUGAACUGUCAAUUAUUACCUAGGUACGUGCGUGCAUAAUUACGUACAAAGGGAGCAAAUUAAUGCUUCAAAACAAUAAGCAAGAAGAAAAUGAGACCAAAUAUACUCACAGACUAAUCGACUGGAACGGGAGAUCGAUGUUUCAACAACUGCAGCUUCAGAGUCCAACUGUGUGAAGUACCAAUAUAUUACAGUACGUGGCCAAAGGUCGUGUUUGUUUAUGUAUAAAUAACAGAUCGAUCAACCAAAUUACAGACAACUUUGUUAGUGAAAACAAAGCAAGGUAUAUAUAGCUCGAUUCCUUUAUGUGAGUGAAAACAAAGCAAAGGAUGGGUGAAAUUAACUAUGACUCUAUGAGUCUUUCUUUAUGCUUUUUCGGAAAAACGUGGUGGGAGCUGUUAAAUUAAUUUUUAUCUAAUUUUCUUUUCCACAGUUUUAUAUAGCGAUAUUAGUGUGUGUGUAUAUAUAUAUAGUGAGUUUCGACAGUAUAGGUAUAUAUAAAUAUAUAUAUAUAUAUAUAUUUCUUUCCACAGUAUAUAUAUAUAUAUUUAUUACAAUAGAGUAAAUUUUAAAUACACACCCCUAAUCUCUUAAUACACACAUAUAUUAUUUUAUGUUUUUAUUGAGUAUUUUAUAAGUAAGCUAAAUGACCAAAACAAACAUCUAUUAAAUUAAAAAAAAAAAUCACGCUAGAAUAUUCUUUUCAACAUCUUCUAUCCUAAAAUUGUCGAAAGCACGCCUUCUCUCCUAACCCCAACUUUUCUCCACAAUUCAUUUGGGUUGUUCUUUUUUUUUCUUCUUCUUUUUUGUAUUUUUUUAUAAUUUUUUUUAUCUGUAUCAGCUUUAGUUUGAUUUUGAUCAUGUUGUCAAGUACUGCAUCUUUAUCAUGACAUGUUUUAUCAAAUAACUAGCUAUCUUUGUUUAAUAGCUACUGUACUUCUACAGUUCUACUAGCUUGUGAAUUUUGAAAACUUGUAUUGGUGAUUUGGAAUUGGGAUAUAACAAUCAUUUGAUUAUAAAUUGAACAAUGAUAACCAAAAAUUUCUAGCAAAAAUAAGACGAAAUAAUAUGUAAAAAGAGGCACUAAAUAGUAAAUAUAUAUUAAUUAUAUUAAAUAACAGAAUAUUUCAUAAAUUAAGGGCAUUUUAGGCAGUUUGAGAUGUGUAUUAAGUAUAAUACUGAAAUGAAAAACUUGAUAGGUGGUGUAUUAAGUAAAGGGUGUGUAUUAAGAUAUUAGGGAUGUGUAUUUAAAAUUUCUCAUUACAAUAUCUUUAUAGUGUGUGUGUGUAUAUAUAUAUAUAUAUAUUACUUCAAAAGAAAAAAAGGUUUAAUCUAUGAUAACUUGAUAAGGUUUCACACCUUGAUUUUUACCAACUCGACUACAUCUGAUGGUUUUGCCAUAAAUUUUAUUAGUAUGCAUCAAAUGAAAAACCAAUAUCACUAUAUCAGAUGUUAAGGGCAUCAAAUAACAUUUAUUAAACACAUAAGACGAAAUUACUACACCACCCAACAACGUACUAAGUCACCAAAGUAAAGGAAUCAAGUCAACGACCACCGCACCAUGCACACUACAAUCGUUUUAAUGGUCAUGCUACAAUCGCGGUGAAACCUAAUGAUUCACAAGCUCACGCUGAGAUCAAAUAGCCGUGCUAACUCAUUGUCGUUGUCGAAAAUCAACAUCGGUGAUCGAAAUAAUUCCAUAAACUCGUCGCAUUUAGUUCGGACCCUUAAAUUGGACCCUUAAAUCGAUGAUUUCACGUUAUGAUUCAAAAUAUUCUUUCGUGCACCAUAAAUUUAUUAAGAUAGUCAAAUAAUUUCCAAACGAUUUCAGUUUAGCUCGUUAAUUUUUUUCGUAGGCUCAUAGUUCCAUCUUUUUAAAAUAAUUUUCUAUCUUCAAAAUUUCAUUAUUGAUCGAAUGAUAAUACUCAUUUCGAUUGGGUAGAAUGCACUACCAGAAGAAAGACUUUAGCCGACGAAAAAAAAAANNNNNNNNNNNNNNNNNNNNAGAGAAAAUGUAACUAGUUGAAUAUAACUAGUUGAACAUCUAUAUGAGUACUCUAUAUAGAUGUAUAUGUUAAUCUCAUGUACAUGCAAGCUUCUACAUAGCAUGCAUGUGAGUGACAUACCUCUACCAAUGUGAUGCUUCCGAUUGCCUGUAUCUUUCUCUUCGUUUUGAACAUCUAUAGUAACUUCACGAGUAAUGGGUGUAGGUGUCGGUGUAGGCAUACCUAUCAUUAAAUUAACCAAAAUCCCAUCAAUAUAUUUAACUUAGAAUAAUUAUCUAGGUGACAAGAAUCGAAUACGAGCUUUAAGAAAAAUAAUAAAGUGUAAUAUAUACGUGUGAUUUGUAAAGAAUAGAAUGUUAAACCCUUAAACAGCUGGAUUGAUUCCCUGCUACGUACUUUUACAUUGGCGCCCAUACUCUAAAUGAUUCAUAUAUGCAGCACUAUUUUCUCUUAAUUUGGAUACCGAAAAGUAACAGAUAGACUAUUGGUUUCGAUUCAUAGGAAGAGAGGAGCUAGAGAUCAAAAGCAGCACUACUAACAUCUAUAAAUCAGUCGUUUCCGCAUUCCGAGCUUGCUAAUAAUCCAGCACGCGUACUAACCAAUUCAUUUAAAAGGGAUUCACCAGAGUGAUCUUCAGCAAUGGCCAAGUUUGGAAAACGCCGUAGUAAGUCCAACGAAAUAUCUAUAGUAGAGUGAAAGAGAGAAUCAGUAAAACAUAUAUGCGAGAAGUAAACAAAUUAUAAUAGAAUGCAUGCAGCCAUGCAUGAUAUAGUAAUGAUUUAUGAAAAAUUCUAAUAUACCAUACAAACAUAUCUUUUAUCAUACAUAUUAGGUACCUAAAUGUUUCAGUGACAAACCCGUGGAAACAAGGUAUAGUUUUCUUUAUGCGAGUAAAAACAAAGCAAAGAUACCAAGUCUUUCUUUAUGCUUUUUCCAAAACACGUGGUGGGAGUUGUUAAAUGUUCUCGUGGUAAUUUCAUCACAUAUAUAGCAACUGAAAGCAUACAACAAAUGCUUAUCAAUUACUAUGCACAAAAUAAAAAUUUCAUGUCACUUUUUUGAAUGAUAUUAGCCUUCAUUUGAGAAAAAGUUUUAUUUGUUCUAAAUCUAUUAGUAUGUCGUUAAAUAGAAAAUUAAUGUUACUAGCACCAAACGAUGUUGAUUUGAUAAUCAUUGGUUUACAGUUUAAUUUUCAUCUGUUAGAAUGACAUUAGAAUCUAUACGAAGGUAGAGAGAACAAGUCACUCAUAUGUUGUCACUUUCCAGAAAAGAUGGUAGCGCACUGCGCAUUCCACGAGAACAGUUUUGUCAUCAUGAGAAAUUGAGAAGCACCGUAUCGACCAUAGUAUGCAUACACGUACAUAUAUAAAUAUAGGAACUGUAAAUGAUGUGAGUAGUGAGUACUAUCUCAUUAUUAAAAAUCAAUUUCUGAAUAACUCUUAACCAAGACAUUUGAUGGAAGACUACUUCAAUUUCAUUCCUGGUUAUAUGUAGUUGUAUAUUAAUUAAGAUCUUAAGUGACUAGUAUAACCGUUAUAAGAGAAUUAGAUUGUGAUAGUUAAAACUCAUUUGUAGUAUGUUCGAUUUGUGGUCCUUUUUGUAGUAUGUUCGAUUUGUGGUCAUUUUUUUGUAAGGUUUGUUACCAAUAAAUUUACAAGACAAACAUCAACUAAUUUACUAGUUUUCUGACGGAUAAUGGAAACUAUCUAUCUUUUGACUCGAAAAAAAAUGAUACGGUAUAAUCUGUAACCUAAUCGAUAACGAUUUGGGCCUUAACCCGCACCGCCAGUGUGUUGAAAGGAGUCAGUAGGCCAGUCCUUCGCGCGGUCCAGCCUCGAAAACUUCUCUGUUAAAGAGUCCUAAAACCCCAAAUGCCACUCCUCCCUGAACCCAGAGACAAUGCUCUCCUCUUCCUCGAGGCUUUUCCGAUCCCACAAAGCAGCAGAGCUACUCAUUCCCACUCUCUCUCCCGAUCCGUUUCUCAUUCGGAUCCAUAAAUCUCCACCACUCCCAAACCCGAACACCUUCCCAUCCUUCACCACCGCAACAACAUCCACCAACAACAACACUCACCCCUCUUCCCAAUCACAACAACAAACACUACUCACUCAAAUCCUAUCCUCCAUCGAAAACGCCCCCACAUUACUUCAAUCCCUACACAACCAACACAUCUCCCUAAACCCAACAUCCUUCAACCUUGUUCUGAUCUCCGCCGCCCAAAGAAACCAUCUUCACCUCGUAACACAAAUCUUCAAACUCGCAGUUGCUUCCAAAACACAACCCUUGAACUCAAACUGCUAUCUCACUGUCGCCAAAGCCUUUGCAAAAGCAGAGGACUCUGUUCCCGAGCUCCUCAGUUUCACCGACGAAGUGUUGAAAGUGACCCGACCGAGCAUGACAGUUAUAAACAGACUNNNNNNNNNNNNNNNNNNNNAAACUACAGCAUACCAUGUUCACUGAAAAAAAAUUAUAGAGCUGUACAGACAUUUAUAUCUAGUAUCAUGGACUGAUGUCUAUUUUUACCGUGCUGGAAAAGAUACAUCACUAGAAGGGUACCUGAAGGGAUGAAAACGGUGGCGUCCCUCACCCCUAAACCUUAGGGGACCUUCAGGAUACUUCUCACACUCCUCCAUACGGUUGAAGCAGUUUGCAAGGUAGGCACCUUGUUGAGCAGCUACCUGUGAUAUUCAAAUUUUGGAAAUCAACAAAUUAAAGAUAUAUAUAGGAUACGUGAUGUAUGAGUUGAAUAUACAAAUAGUAGUUCACCUGGGCUGUUGCAGGAAGGUUUUUCAUCUGAGAAUCUGCUUGAGAAAGAGCUGAUUUAAAGGUCUCAAUAUCUACUUCAGUACCAGAAUACUUUCCUGAACUAUUUUUCAGUAAAUCGUGAAUGCUUGACAUCUGUUUACUCUUCAAAUGAAGCUCCAACUGAGGAUACCUCUCCAUAACAUCAUCUAUAACUCCAUGAAACUCCUUAAGACUUAACGUACCAGAAUUGCUUGUGUCUGCCUUACUAAUUAUAUGUGAAAUAUCUUCCUGACACACAUUUUCAACAAUUGAAGUUAAAGAUGAUAAUGUACUCUAUAACUGACGUGUGAUGAUUCAAUAAUUUCAUAAAAUACACUCCCAGUAGGUAGAUACCAUGAUCCUGCGUUGGUUUAUUGUUGCACAAUCACCUAGAGCAAAUACACCAUCACAUCCUUCUACCCUCAGGCAUUCAUCAGUAGCCAAAACACGUCUGUUUGCCUAUGCUCAAACAAAUGGAACAGUGAUUUGUUUCAUUAUCAAAUCCAAAUAUAGUCAUGCAUCAAUAAAGCACAAAUUAGCAACAAACCUGACCAAUCUUCUUCAUAAAUUCAAUAAUCUCUGGGCGUGCCCCAAUGCCAGUUGCCCAGAGACACAUCCCAUACAGUGUAGAUGAAACCUGCCCAGUUGCUCUUUCUUUAGUGGAGAUUUCCUUAGCAGUUACUUUUACAACCUGCGAACCUGUUUUUACUUUAUCUCUGGAGAACUUCUCUUCAGCAAAUUUUGUAAUCCUUGUGUCAAACCUGUAAGACCAAACCAAACACAUAAUAGUUAACUUGACUAAUACCUUCAUUAAAAUACCAAAAAUUACAGAAAUGUAUAUGCCUUACUCACAUGUUCAAAAUAUGAUCACCUGCUUCGAGUAAAGUGAUGGAUACAUCAUCUUUAACGGAAGGGUACAACUUGGCUAAAUCCGCAGUUACAAAGUCAUGAAGCUCUGCAGCAAACUCCACACCUGCUGGACCGCCACCAACAACUAUGAAGUGCAAAAUUGUCUUCCUUUCUUCUUCAGUUAUGCAUGGAAGACUCGCCCUUUCAAAGCAGUCAAUCACAGACUGACGAAUCUUCAGAGCAUCUUCUACUCCCUGCCAAUUAAAACCCAAGAAGCUCAUUGUUAUUCUCCUUGAGAUAUCAAUGAAGUUAAGUGCUAUAGUUUGUGGAGUCAUCAUAAAAUCAAGUAAAGUGCUAUAGUAAAAGAAAUAUGAAUCAAGUACCUUCAAGAAAUGAGGGUGCUCUUCAACACCAGGGGUGUUAAAUGUGUUAGCUUUCACUCCCAUGGCUAUGAUCAGGUAGUCAUAAUCUACACUAAAUUCAUUAUUCCCACAUGAAUUGUUGUCUUGGGUUGUCCGACAGUAAAUUGCUUAUUCUGUGGAUCUAUUUUGUAACAUGCUGCUUCCCUGAACUGAAUAUUUAAGCCUUUCUGCUUGUCAUUUCAGAUCAAGGAAAGAGUUGUCAUCUAAUUCAUAUCAGUGUCUCCAGUCAAUCAAACUACAUAAAAGUUUAUCCCUAUACAUUCUUAGAAACAAAACUACAGAAUUAGACAAAUUAUGGAAACAUGUUUCAACAUUAUACAACUCCUGAAGAUUAUUUGUACAGAUAAGCAGGGCAUGUAUUCAAACUGUGCUGCAGGACCUUGGAUGCGAAACGUGCUAAAAUAAGAUUUUACUUCCAGUACUGAUACUGCAGGAAAAGGUGACCUUGUCUAAUUUUGUUCUCUGUUUGCAAAAUGGUAUACUUUAUUAGGUGCAUAUUUCAUAAGUAAACCAUUUUGCGAAUAGAGAAAGCAAAAGUAAGUAAUCGAAGUCUAUAUUGGUUAUUGACCAAUAUUGCAUCAUAUAUUUUUAUUUAUAUGUAUGCAGGUGAUACCUUCUUAGUAAUAGAGCGAAUUGGUUCGACAAUGCUGCGUGGUUCGACUGUGCCACAAGUAAUACUCGUCAGCAGAGGGGUGAACAAAAAAUAAUUAUGAGGGGACACCACUUCAACAUCAUAUGAGGAACUCUUCAAAUUCUUCAAGAAACUGAUGCCAGCCCAACCAGUUCCAAGUACCACCACCUUCUUUUUCUUCAGUUUGCCUUCAGACUGAGCUGCUUCAGCAUACGCAGUACGACCAUGGAAUGGUCUGCCUUCAUGAAAUGCCGCCAGACUUCCCCCACUGCAUAAUAUACAAGUGCAACUGUGCAAGUCAGCUGAUAAGAAAUGGAGCUACAGAUAUGUAGAGUUUCAUCCGUAGUUAUGCGAAACAUGUUCCAUGAAAAAGAGAUUGUUUUUUCAUCGAUAGUUCUGUCAAAAAUCCAAGGAAAAGUGAAAAUAACAUGUGUAAGAAGUUUUUUCAAAAUUAUUUCAUUUAUCUCCCAUUCACCCUAGCUAAUACAUACAAUGAUCGUCUGGUUCGAUCUAAUCUAUUUAUCAAAGUUCUUAAGAGGUACUAGUGUACUACUUAACAUUGCAUAGCCAUGUUUCACUGCGCAUACUAAAUCAAUCUACCAUUUAUGUCUCAUAGUUACAAUCUACACAGAAACACAUAUCCCAAACACCAAUAACAACGAAGAUUGGACGAGAAGAUCAAAGCAUAUAAACCCUUAAAGCUUGUACUCAAAAUGCAAACGAAAACUUCUGUGAUACAGAUUGAGGAGAGUUGAAAGAGCACCCGACUGUAGCAACAACAAGAAGCUUUGAUAGGGAGGGGUAUUGCCGAAAGAGCCUAGAGGCUCUCUCAUAGAAUGAAGCUCCCCACAUUAUGAAACUUCUGUUUCACUUUUCAGUUCUAUCUUCAAAAGAAGAGGAAAGUAACGAACUUAAUCACAGGGCAUUUUAUAUGCUUAUGGAUAUAAAGUUGUAGUUUAUAUCUGAAGAGGACAGUUUCUAGUUUUGCUGGUACGUGAAGGAGUGGUUAGGGUGCAUUAACUAGUACCAGGGACCGAACCAUGAGUAGCUGUCACGUAAGACGUAACCGGAGAUACUCUAUUCUUCAGGGUCCGAAGUCAAACCGGCAAAGUAGGAAUUACAGUGAUCUUUUCCAAUAUGGUGAAAAAAUAUUACCAUGCAUGAAUUAAAUCUGUCUUUGUCCAGAAGCUGUUGAAAAGUUGUGAUUUUAUUUAUCUAUGACUUCGUUUCAUAGAUGGGCACCAGAAAGUUGCCCGCGCGUUGCAGCGGGUUGUAUAGCACAUAUGGGAAUUAAACUACUAAGCUAGUGUUAUAAUGCUGAUGACUUCAAUUUUGAUAUAAGACAGCUUUAUUCUUAAGAAAAUGAUAUAAGGCCUGGUUCUAAAAAUAUGAACAUCAAAAUAGUUUGUGCAGCUAUCAAAAUAAGCUUUCAGGCCAUUUCAGUAUACAGUAAUCAUUUCAUUGUUACACAACAUAAUGGAAGACCUCAAAAUAGUCUAGUGUUCAAAAAAUCUACGUUCCACACUGCUGGACUAAAUGUGGUUCUUCCACUUCUAUCUAAACAAAAAGUGUGAUGUAGAGCACUUCUAAGCACUCUUUUCCCACCAAUUUGGCUGGUCCAAGCAACAACAGCCUGUACCUGAAGGAAAACAUAUAGACAAAACACAUAAGCAUAAGACCAUAGAUGACUAUACGUGCGCUUCAAGAGUUCAGAAAAAUUAACAAUCGGGUUUUUUGAUCUGCUGAAGUUGUCAUCCUAAGUUUUGUUAAUGUAAAUCACAUACAACUCAGUAAAGAAAAGCUGAAAGCUAAAGAACUCAAUGCAACAAAGCUGACUUCACCCUUGAAAGUUCUAAACAGACUACGAUAUAAAAAAAGAGAAGCUACUUCCUGGCCUGCAAGUUCCAUGUUUACAGAGAGCAAAGCAGAAGGUUAGGUUUAAUACUAAAAGGGACAUUAGAAACUUAGGUAGGGGAUAAAAUAAAACCUAAUCAUUCCCAUCUACAGGUCAUUUAUUGAAACCUUUAUCUUCUCAUCCCAAGCAAAACAUCCUCUGCAUCUUUCUGUAGAAGAAGAUCCAUCUCUUGAGCCUAUAGAGUUCAGAAAAAGAGGCACCAAUUUCUUGUGAGAAAAUUCAGAUUACAGAAGAAAUCUGAAAAAUACUUUUUAGAAAUAAAUGGAGUAAUGGACAAAAAAUUAUAGGAUGACCUGAUGCCGUAGUAUAACCCCAACUUCUGUAAAUGUGUCAAUGAAUAAUCAUACUUCAAAUCAUCUAAAGUGCGAUGUCCUUUCUCAUAUAAUUUGAGUGCAGUAGCUAGACCUGCACCCCAUAUUUUCUCAGAUUAGCCGAUUGUUUUUACCUGUAAUUAAUUAAUAGAUUUAAAUAGCAGAAAUGAGAUUAAGACUCAUAAUCAGCUCAGAUACUCAGUUAGCCCACUCAAACUGUGGUGAUAUAAAUAACAUAACAUCUAGUAUCUACAUAAAACACAUUUAUAACACAAAUUCCUCAAAGAAGUCACCUCUUCUUCUUCUUCUUCUUCUUCUCCUUGUCAUUUUUCCCUAACUUCUUCAUCGACAUCACCUACUAAGAACAAUAAAGCAAUUUGGUCAUACGAUCAACAUACUCGCACAUUCACACACAGAUCAUUAUUUUCAAAUCGCAUAUCUAAUUAAUUAGCAACCAAAUGACAGAAAGCAUACUUUCAAAAAGAAAAGAAUCAGAAUAGACACUCACAGAUGCAUUUAGACUUUAGAGAACCCACUGAAGGUGUUGGAGAUGAGGAACCCUCUAUGUAUGAUAGAGAAAAGCUUCAGGGAUCUGUAAACAUGUGACUAUAAAAUAGCAUGAGUUUCAUCUUCAUUUAAAGAGUAUAUCUAAACAAAUGCAUUAACAUAAUCAACAACAACUCGUUGUGCUGCAAGGCAAAUAAGACCCCGAGUUACCACUUUAAAUACAUGUAGGAAGCAAUUCACAAUACUAUCUACCCACCUUUUUCUCAAACCUGAAAGCAUACCAUCAUCUUUGAGAUCCAUAAUAGCUCUAUGCACCACCAUCCAAUUCACACUGCUAAAAAAAAAAAAAAAAUUAAAAACAUUUUCCAUGAACAUGAACAACAGCCUAAGAAUCAAAUAAUAAACAAAUAAAAUAUCAUAAAUUCCAUGGAAUCCAAAGUAGAACAUUUAUAUUCCUCAAUUUCACCAUGGUAUAUAAAUUAAACCUUUUCAGUAGAAAAGCUGCAAUAGAAUUCGAUAAAUUGAAAUUGAACAAACAUCUUACUUUACAAAUCCAGAAUGCAAGCAAUAGAAAGGAUCAGACUUCAUCAAAGAGACAUGCACUUUUUGCCGAAACCCCGUUUCGAUUGAUGAAUAUAUCCCGAAAUUGGGUGAACAUCAAAGCAGAAACAAUAACCCAGAAUCGCAUUUAUCUUGUCUUGGGGUUGACGUUUGAUUUCCAGGAUCCAGUUAUUUCUUCAUGUCGUUCCUAUUCUCUCUCAAUCUGAGAACAAACCCAGAAGCAAAUGCAGAAGAAGAAUGAGAUUAAGGGAGUAAGAGAAAGAGGAAUGAUAAUAAUCAUUCUAACUCGAAAACAAAACGGGAUAGUACCAAUUUCAGAUUCCGAGCUUGAUAAAACUUCCAUCUAGCAAAUAGAAAGCAAAACGAAAGAGAGGAAAUGAAACGUCAAUGGUUUCUAAGAGAGAGAAAGAGACCAAAAGGAUAAAAGAGAGGAGAAAAAGGAGGUCUGGAUUGGUCUAGAAGCUUCAGGAGGGAGAUGAUAAGAUUCAGCUAUCAACUUGUUAACGGAGAGGAGGAAAUAUUGGGCGAGAGCCAAGAGAGAGGAAGAAGAAUCUAGACCUCUCUGAAAAUUACGAAAUUUCUGCAGGGGCAGAGUACAGUCCAUCCACCCAAGUCCAACACUAAAGCCCAACACUGUAGAUGUGAACAGUAAAAACACUGUACACGUGAACACUGAACAGUGCCGCAGCCCGACGCAAUAUACUUUUGUAUAAUAUAAUGUAUGAAAUUCUCAAUCUUUGUGUUUGUCCAAAUAUGAAUGAACGUCCAAAAGGAGAAAAUUAAAGAAUCUCCCAAGAAUCAUUUUGCUCUGCAACCAAGAGAAAUCUCUCUCAAACACGAUACACGAAGGCAUGUACAAUGCAUGUGCAAACACUGAUGACAGAUUAGGCCGGAAUUAUAUGUCAUCCUCAAAUACGGCUUGAAUCUCUCCCGAAAAUAAAUCUUCUGGUCCAAUCAGAUACCACUAGGACCCUAGUACGCCAGCUAACUUGCUUGCUGAGAAAUGAACAGGAAAAACAUCAAUCAGAUUCAGUAGUAAAUAGAAAACUUAAUUCUAGGAGCAAAUAAGUAAAUGAAGAUCACCUUGCAUAUACAGAAUACCAGAGCCAUUGAGUGCUGUGGCCCAUGGAAACCCAGUCCCCGGGCAGCUCUGCUGCUGCUUCCUCACCUCCCAAUGGAGCAAAUUGACCGAAAUGCUUGUACCUAGUCAUUCACAAGUUACCGCAUAUUAGCAAUGAGGGAAGAGAAGAGAGAUAGAUAAUGACAUAGAAGUAACUUNNNNNNNNNNNNNNNNNNNNNNNNNNNNNNNNNNNNNNNNNNNNNNNNNNNNNNNNNNNNNNNNNNNNNNNNNNNNNNNNNNNNNNNNNNNNNNNNNNNNNNNNNNNNNNNNNNNNNNNNNNNNNNNNNNNNNNNNNNNNNNNNNNNNNNNNNNNNNNNNNNNNNNNNNNNNNNNNNNNNNNNNNNNNNNNNNNNNNNNNNNNNNNNNNNNNNNNNNNNNNNNNNNNNNNNNNNNNNNNNNNNNNNNNNNNNNNNNNNNNNNNNNNNNNNNNNNNNNNNNNNNNNNNNNNNNNNNNNNNNNNNNNNNNNNNNNNNNNNNNNNNNNNNNNNNNNNNNNNNNNNNNNNNNNNNNNNNNNNNNNNNNNNNNNNNNNNNNNNNNNNNNNNNNNNNNNNNNNNNNNNNNNNNNNNNNNNNNNNNNNNNNNNNNNNNNNNNNNNNNNNNNNNNNNNNNNNNNNNNNNNNNNNNNNNNNNNNNNNNNNNNNNNNNNNNNNNNNNNNNNNNNNNNNNNNNNNNNNNNNNNNNNNNNNNNNNNNNNNNNNNNNNNNNNNNNNNNNNNNNNNNNNNNNNNNNNNNNNNNNNNNNNNNNNNNNNNNNNNNNNNNNNNNNNNNNNNNNNNNNNNNNNNNNNNNNNNNNNNNNNNNNNNNNNNNNNNNNNNNNNNNNNNNNNNNNNNNNNNNNNNNNNNNNNNNNNNNNNGUGCGGUUGCGGGCAGACUCUUUCUCUGUGAAUCCACUAGAGAGAGGGCUAAUUUAAAUUCUUCAAUAUUCACUUCUUUCCUAUCAUUACCCUUGGAAUCUUUCAAUAGAUCAGUCACAUCCUGCAUAUGCUUGCUCUGUAAAUAAUGUUCCACUUGGGGAUACCUAAUGAUUAUGUCGUCAACUACAUCUCGAAAUUCAGCAACUGUCAAGGUACCAGAUUUGUCUUUGUCUGCAGCUGCAAAUAUGGCCACGAUGUCCUCCUACAUAUGACAAGAUAAUAAUCCAUUAAAAGAGUUACAAUAAAUUGUAUACUUUAAAUUGGUCGACCCUGGUUUCCGACCAUGCCCCAUUAAGAAACAAACAAAACAGUUCAAAAGACCAGCUUUGCUCAAUAUUAAAGUCAAAUAUCCUAUAUACUUUCUGACAGGUAAAGGCUCUUUUUGUACCAUGAUUUUACGUUGAUUGAUUGUAGCGCAAUCACCAAUCGCAUAAACAUCAUCACAUCCCUUUACACGUAACCAUUCAUCAGUUACUAGCACACGUCUAUUAGCCUGAAAACGGAGCAGAACAAAAACUAUAAUUGACAUGCCAACUGAGGUGACAAUUCUCAUUGAUUUAAGAAUGUAUAAUUCAAUCAGUCCACAUAUAUGGUGAAAGUAAGAUAUUUGGUAUGUGUCAAGACCAAUUGAUUGGAUUGUAAAUACAGUGAUCUCAGUCUACGUAUGUGCAUAAAAAUUGGAGAACAAACCUGUCCAACUUGUUCCAUAAAGUCUCUCACAACUGGACGAGUCCCAACACCAGUAGACCAGACCACCAUUCCAUGUGGAACAGAGCAGACCUCUCCCUUUGAUUUCACCUUCACUUUGAUUUCCUUAUCUGAAACACUGACAACCCGGCAUCCUGUUUGAACAUCAAUGCCAUCUCUUUGGAACUUGGUCUCAGCAAAAUUACUAAUUCUUUCAUCAAACCUACAAUAAGAAAAAUAUUUGAAGAGUCUGUCAUGUGAACAAGGUCUCUGCUUUGAACUAGAAAAGUUCCAAACUGCUAUAAGAUACGUGAACUUCCGAGAUAAAGAGAUAUAUGUACAUCUCAAGCUAAACUAUCCACAAACCAAAUUGCUGAAGCUGCACAGCAGUAAAGUGUGGAAUUAUAUUCCAUAUUCUAACUCUUGCCAUCAAAACUUCUCCAACAAAAUAAAAAUAAAUAAAAGUAUAACCGCAUGCUUCUUACAUGUUCAAGAUAUGAUCUCCUGAUUGGAUUAAUGUUAUUUUCACAAGAUCCUUGACCAUAGGAUAUAACUUGACUAAAUCUUCUUGGAAAUAAUCAUGCAACUCUGCAGCAAAUUCAACACCAGUAGGACCGCCUCCAACAAUUACAAAAUGAAGAUUCCUCCUCUGCUCCUCUUCACUUAGACCUGGAAGUACAGCAGUUUCAAAGCAAUCUAUAACACUUCUACGAAUCUUCUGAGCAUCUUCUACUUCCUGCAUAAGUAGGGCCAAAGAUGGGUCUUUCAAGUAAUGUGAGAUCAGAACCUCAUAAAAGACCAACUUGGUUUGUUUGACAAGCUUCAGGACAUAAGAUCCCAAUUGAGAAAUUUAAAUGCUGAACAACUCAACUAGAUUAAAAAUGAAUUGCAGUACCUUCAGAAAGUGACAGUUCUCCUUUACCCCAGGGGUGUCAAAUGUGUUUACUUGUGCUCCCAUAGCUACAACCAAGUAGUCAUACUCCAGGGAAAAUUCAGGAGUUCCGAUCAAAGGGUUAUCAGUAUUAGCCCGGAGGUGAACAUUCUUAUUUGCAGCAUCAAUCUUGACACAUUCUGCUUCAUAAUAUUUGAUCUCUCCAUUUCUCU